CCAUUACUAAAAAGCUACCUAAAAAAAAGACUCCUAAAUUACCCUUAGUCAAACUUUCAAUGGUUGGAAGCCAUUAUCUUCUCGUCUUUUCAAAUCACCUAUCCCAUCACUUCCAUCCGUCUGACAAUAGCUCUUCCCAAAAUUUGCUUUCUUUGCUAUCUACUUGUACAUCAGAAUCUUCCCUUAUCUUUUCAAUCCGGAUUUCUUGCCCAUAGUUUUGUUACCCCCCCAUUCUGGCGAUUCAACUCUCCAUCCUCCAGGUAAGUUCUUUCACUUCUCUUUAAUGUUGUCUUCGCAAUGUUGUGAGCACUCAUGUUCUUCAUUUUCGGAAUGUGCUUAAACUCUAUCUUCUAAAAGCCCAACUUCUUAGCCUGAAUAUCUCUGAUAAUUGCUCUAAUAACUGAAUAAUCGAUUGUGGUUGACUGGCAUUUCUUUACUACUAUUAAUGAAUCUCCUUGUAUUUGUAUCUCUUGAAAGCCCAUCUCGAUUCCUAACUUAACUGCUUCUAAUCCCGCAUAUGCUUCUACUGCAAACGGAUAAGCAAUAUCAUAAUGAAUGAAUGAUUUUGAAGCCAAAUAUUUGUUCGUCUUUCCCCAAACCACCAGCCCAGUCGCCAAUCUGUGAUUUCUGGAGUCAAAAGCAGCAUCAAACUGGAUCUUUAUAAUCGGUAAGUUCUCCUCAGUUUUUUGAUUACACACCAUAUUCAAUAGACUCUUCUUGGCUCUGACCCCUUUAUAUUCUGCGACGAGGUUCUGGACUUUUUGUGUAAGAUCAACACCUAUUGAAUAAACUCUUUCAUGCACAACCUGAUUUCUCGCGUACCAAAGCAACCAAAAAGCAUAGCAAAAAUAUCUGCACUAUUCAUCUGUUCCUUGUUCGAAGACCAUGGACAUUACCUAAAAAUGUGAUAGCAGUUUUCUUCCCCAAAACCACAUCGAGGACAAACAGCAUUCGUCACUAUUCUUCUCUGUCUAAGAUUUGUUAAAGUAGGGAUGUUAUUCCAGGCAAUAUGCCAGAUGAUAAUUGUAAUCUUAGAUGGUAGUUAUAGAUUCCAUAGCUUUUCAAAAAAAUUCUUAUUUUCGGUCUGUAAUAAAUAAUUGCUAGGAUCCAGGUUAGCAAUUUGUAAUAGUUCAUAAGCACUACGGACUGAGUAUUCACCAGUCUGUUCACCUUUCCAAACUUGGAAAUCCUCAUGAGCUGACUUUGAUAAUGGGAUCUAAAGAAUUUUUCGAGCAACCUCCAAAUGAAAGAUAGAGACUUUAUUUCCUCUGCCUCUUCGCCAGCAUAAGCCUUUCUGAAGGAGACCCUUAGCUACCCAUAUGCUUUUCCAGGUGUUGCGACGCGUGGAAGGGGCAAUGUUCAGGGGCGUGGUGGCUGAAGGGAGGCCAAAAGUCGGGGGGAGUGGCGGCUGAACUUUGGUGGCUAGGGUUAGGGUGGCUGCUGAAAAAAAUUAAAGAUAGUUGGCUAGGGUUUAGUUUAUUUCGGGCCUGGUAAUUGGGUUUGAGUUUGGGUCUGAUUUUGUAAUGGACUUUAAUUAUUUGGACUUUUAAAUUUGUUUAUUUGGGAUUUAUUUUUGUAAUUGGGUUAGACCAAAA